UUUUCCUGCAGAUAGUUGGGAGACUCAUUAAUGAGUUAAUCUGACCUGCUCUAGACCCUUUCUCCAGGCCCCCAAUACAGUGGGUAAGGUCCACCUUGUGCCAGACUCUGUGGGGUCCCCAAAUUUUUGCUAGGAUUAUGAAUGCCUGAUAAUUCCCCUAGAAGUCUGAGUCAAGGUACUUAGGCUGGGAAUUAGCUAUAGUUACUUAGGGGAGCUCUGCUACUCUUGGACCAAACAACAAAUGUCUUCUUUCAUCACUUAUUCAUAAAUCCUACAGUUCAAGUUCCAAUGCACACUCACUUUCCUCAGCUUUCUCUCAGUUUCUGAUGGAGAUAAUGCUGGGACUUUUGAUGAGUUUCUUCUUAUCUUGUACCUCUCUCCCCCCAACACUCCAGACCCAGUUUCUAAAAUCAAGGAGGAAAUACUGAUCGUUUACUUUCUAGGAAAAAUAGAAGGAAGCCUAUAGAUAUAGUACUGUAGUUCCAAACUGGUACUUUGUUUCACUUAUCCACAUUCUUAUUCCUUUCAUGUCUGACUUUAGGAAAUUCCAGACUCACCCUACUUGUCUUUAUGUCUCUACAGUCACCUGCUCUACAAACUGCCUAGCCCAACCCCACUCACCUUUUUCCUCUUGGCCAGCUGCCUGGUUGGUUGCUGGGGAUGUUUUGGUAUUAAGCUGGAAAAAAUAUUAGGAUAUCAGAAUAUUAGAUAUUCAUGGAAGUAAUUUGAAGGCAUCAUCACCUUAGACCUCUUAUAUACUCUCAAACCCUAUUACCAGGUGCAUUCCCUUAGUCUUUUGAAGAAGCAAGUCUUGAGAUCAGAGACCAGAGGAAAAGUUAUCAAAAUUCAUCCAGCAAAGAUUUACUGAUGCUAGAAAGUGUAGAGGACAAAACAGACAAAGAAAUUCUGCCCUCAUGGAGCUUACAUUCCAGUGUAUAUAGAGACAAAUAAAGCACAUAAAAUGACUACUAUGAUGAUAAGUGCUAUGGAGAAAAGGUAGCGAAAGGAAAUAGUAAGUACUGGGGUGGAAAUGGAGGAAUACAGUUUUACAUAGAGUAGUCAGGAACAGCCUCUCUGAAAAGCAGCAUUUGACCAAAUAGCUGAAGGAGAUGAGGAAGUAAGGCUCAUAGAUAUCUGGCAGGAGUUUUCAAGGGCUCUGGGUUGGAAGUGUGACUAGCCUGUCUGAGGAAUAGCAGACCAGUGUAGUUGGAGUGGAGAGAGGAAAGAGGAAAGAUUAAUGGAGAUGAGAACAGAGUUAACUGGGGGUGGAAGCAGAUUAUGUAGGGCUUUAGAAGUCUUUUUAAGGAGUUUGACUGUUACUACAAGUGAGAUGAGGAGUUGCUGGAGACCUCUGAUUUGCAUAAAAGGGAAAGAGAAAGGAUGCAGAAAAAUCUGUUAAGAGGUUAUUGCAGAAAACCAAGCAAGAGACGAUGGUAGCUUGAAUCAGCAUGGUGGCGAUGAAGAUGGUAAAUGGUUGGAUUCUGGGUAUAUUUUCCAGCUAUGACCAAUAUGAUUUGUUGAUUCGAAAGAUGGCAUUGUGAGAAAGAGAGGGGUCAAGGAUGAUUCCAAAUUUUGGCCUGAUGAUCUGAAAAAAAUAGAGCUGCCGUUUCCUGAGAUGUAGAAAACAGGGAGAGGAGGUUUUAGGGGGAGGAUAAGGAGCUUAUUUUUUAACAAAUUUGAGAUGGCUAUUAAUUAUCCAAGAGAAGAUGCUUUUAUAAACAGUUGAAUAGUCAAGAUGAGUUAAAGAGAAGGGCCUGGGCUAUAGAUAUCAGUUAGGGAGCUAUUGAUAUAUGGAUAGCAUUUAAAGCCAUGAGACUGAAUGGGAUCACCAAGAAACUGAGUUCAGAUAGAGAAGAGGAUAAAAUCCUGAGGUAUCCCAGUGAUUAGAAUUGUAAAAAUCCUUCUCCCUCUCCCUCCCCCUCCCCCUCCCUCUCCCUCUCCCCACGGUCUCCCUCUCCCUCUCUUUCCACGCUCUCCCUCUGAUGCCCAGCUGAAGCUGGACUGUACUGCUGCCAUCUCGGCUCACUGCAACCUCCCUGCCUGAUUCUCCUGCCUCAGCCUGCCGAGUGCCUGCUAUUGCAGGCGCGCGCCGCCACGCCUGACUGGUUUUCGUAUUUUUUUGGUGGAGACAGGGUUUCGCUGUGUUGGUCGGGCUGGUCUCCAGCUCCUAACCGCGAGUGAUCCGCCAGCCUCGGCCUCCCGAGGUGCCGGGAUUGCAGACGGAGUCUUGUUCACUCAGUGCUCAAUGGUGCCCCGGCUGGAGUGCAGUGGCAUGAUCUCCGCUUGCUACAACCUCCAUCUCCCAGCAGCCUGCCUUGGCCUCCCAAAGUGCCGAGAUUGCAGCCUCUGCCUGGCUGCCACCCCAUCUGGGAAGUGAGGAGCGUCUCUGCCUGGCCGCCCAUCGUCUGGGAUGUGAGGAGCGCCUCUUCCCGGCCGCCAUCCCGUCUAGGAAGUGAGGAGCGUCUCUGCCCGGCCACCCAUCGUCUGAGAUGUGGGGAGCGCCUCUGCCCCGCCGCCCCGUCCGGGAUGUGAGGAGCGCCUCUGCCCCGCCGCCCCGUCCGGGAUGUGAGGAGCGCCUCUGCCCGGCCGUGACCCCGUCUGGGAGGUGAGGAGCGUCUCUGCCCGGCCGCCCCGUCUGAGAAGUUCCCUGCUCAGAUGGAGAGUUAAACGUAAUAGUAAGGCCAGGUACAGUGGCAUAAACCUGUAGUCUCAGCUACUUGGGAGGAUCCCUUGAGCCCAGGAGUUCAAGACCAGCCUGGCAAGACAUAGCAAGAUCCUAGCUCUUUAAAAAAAAAUAGUAAUUCCCCUUCCUCAAAAUUAUAUUAAUAAGGCUACUUCAUCUGGACAUUCAUCAGUCUCAAGGUAUGGUUCAUCUGGAGACAGAAUCAUUCCUGCACUUGGUACUUUUGGAGUCUGUUUAUUCACCUCACAAUUUUAAGUACUUUAUAUUUAACAAAAUACAAAAACUGGGUGCUUUCAUAAAUGUUUUCUCAUCUAAUUCUUGGAACAGCUUAGUGGAGUAUUUAAUAUUAUCCCCCAUUUUACAGAUGCAGACCUCUGUUGAAUGACUGCCAGACGUAAGGGUUCUGCUUUGAGAAACUGAUAGAAUCCAAUUUAUGUUCUGUAGAUUAUGCUGUUUCCAUCUCACUUCAAUAAAUACUUAUCAAGCA